rnacentral:rRNA from 1 species
CCUACGGGGCGCUGCAGUGGGGGAUAUUGCACAAUGGGGGAAACCCUGAUGCAGCGACGCCGCGUGGGCGAAGAAGUAUUUCGGUAUGUAAAGCCCUAUCAGCAGGGAAGAAGAAAUGACGGUACCUGAGUAAGAAGCACCGGCUAAAUACGUGCCAGCAGCCGCGGUAAUACGUAGGGGGCAAGCGUUAUCCGGAUUUACUGGGUGUAAAGGGAGCGUAGACGGCUUGGCAAGCCAGAUGUGAAAGGCUGGGGCUCAACCCCAGGACUGCAUUUGGAACUGUCAUGCUAGAGUGUCGGAGAGGCAGGCGGAAUUCCUAGUGUAGCGGUGAAAUGCGUAGAUAUUAGGAGGAACACCAGUGGCGAAGGCGGCCUGCUGGACGAUGACUGACGUUGAGGCUCGAAAGCGUGGGGAGCAAACAGGAUUAGAUACCCCUGUAGUC